AAUCGUUUAAAAAUGAAGAUUUUAUUUUAUUUGAUUUUAUUACAUAAAACUCUCUUUGAUGCUGUUGGUCUUCCAUGACUGCAGAUGCGUUUAAGACCCAACAGAAAAUGGUUCAUUCCAGUUUCCAGAGCGACGCGAUCGCUAAUGUCAUGACUUUAACUUCAGCAACGACAGAAAAACAUUAAAUACAGAAAAAAAACAAAUAAAACUGGAAUAUAAAUUAGUGAAAACAAGAGUUACAUGUUUGCAGUUUCUGUGUAUGAAAACAAAAGGUCGAGUUUUGACUGAAAGUUUCUGUGGAGCUCCGGCCCCCUGGUGGUGAAGGAAGGACACUGCAGCCACUCACUGAUUGGCUGCCGGCUGUUGCUCCUCCUCCUCCAUGGGUUGGCUGCUGAAGCCGCUGUCGACCGUGGCGUCUGAUGGAACACAAGCGGCUGCAGUGAAAAACCUUCUUCAGAAAUCUGGGCGUCUCCCGUCUGUUGGAGGCGGAGCAUCUGCAGCUGGAGGAGCUCACCUGUGCUGUGCUUGUCCUCCUGUAGCUCCGUGUUCCUCAGCAGGCGGAUUCCUUCAGUCAAACCGAGAGACCGCAGAGCUUCAACCAGAACCUCCACGGCGCCGCCACCCAGCUGGAAACAGACGCGCGGUCAGAACCGAGAUCCGGACGGGUGUGAGGUUCUGCCAGAAUCUUUAAAGUGUCACCUUGUAGUGCUGCAGCAGGUGGUGGCAGGGGGUGGGGCUGUCCUGGUACAGGUGAGUCAGCGUCAUCAUGCCCAGCUUCUCCGCCAGCGUCCUCCACGGCACGUCGCUGAGGCUCAGCACCUCCACCAGCUGCGCCAGCGUGUCCUCGUUCAGCCGCGACGCCUCGCCGCCUGCGCAGCUGCUGCUGCAGCGGCGAGCCUGCCGGUCUGUCACUCUGCUGGGGGGCGGAGCCUGACAUCUGAGCUGCUCCAGGAAAGCCUGCGAAGCCUUCCGAGUAAAAGGCUCCGCCUCCUCCUCCUCCGUUCAUCUGCUGGUGGAACUGAAAUCCUAAGAAACCUGGAAUUAGUCUGAUCCACGACCUCAAUGACAUCACAGGAAGCAGAAACAAAGGUUUUCAAUACCUCCUCCUCCUCCUCCUCCUCCUGUGGCUCCUCCCCCGAAUCCCCCAGCCCCGCCCCCUCGUCCUCCUCCUGUUCCUCUCCAGUUCUCAUAGUGAGGCAGCGGCUUCUGCCUCUUCCUCAGCACCUCUUCUUUGUCUGAAAGACGAAGAGCGGCCAUGUUUGUCUGCUGCCUGGUGAUGAGGAUGAACACCUGUGCAGGUGCGGCGCCUCACCCUGGACCUGUGGUAUGUAGGUGAACUGUUUGGGGUCGCUGCUGUCUCCGGCCUUCUUCCUCCGCAGCUGCAGGAAGACGGUGACGGAGCGCUGGAUCUCGGUGCUGUGGUACGGCGGCGUCUUGAACACGAUGGCGUACUGAGGAGACAGGCGUGAACGCUUUGUGGCUGAGCGGGCUUCGCUGCUGUAGCUCCGCCCCCAAAACACCCACCUGUUUGUGCACGUCGGUGGGGGAGAAGUCCCCGAACGCCUCCCAGCCGCCCUCGUCGUCCUCCUCAUAGAAGCGGAU
ensembl:lncRNA